UCGGGAAUUUUGGGCAAUGGGCGAAAGCCUGACCCAGCAACGCCGCGUGAGGGAUGAAGUAUUUCGGUAUGUAAACCUCGAAAGAAUGGGAAGAAUAAAUGACGGUACCAUUUAUAAGCUCCGGCUAACUACGUGCCAGCAGCCGCGGUAAUACGUAGGGAGCAAGCGUUGUUCGGAUUUACUGGGCGUAAAGGGCGCGUAGGCGGCGCGGUAAGUCACUUGUGAAAUCUCUGAGCUUAACUCAGAACGGCCAAGUGAUACUGCUGUGCUAGAGUGCGGAAGAGGCAACCGGAAUUCUUGGUGUAGCGGUGAAAUGCGUAGAUAUCAAGAGGAACACCUGAGGCGAAGGCGGGUUGCUGGGCCGACACUGACGCUGAUGCGCGAAAGCCAGGGGAGCGAACG
rnacentral:rRNA from 1 species